UACGGGGGAUGCAAGCGUUAUCCGGAUUUAUUGGGUUUAAAGGGUGCGUAGGCCGUAAGGUAAGUCAGCGGUGAAAUGCCCCCGCUCAACGGGGUGAAGUGCCAUUGAUACUGCCUUGCUGGAAUGCGGAUGCCGUGGGAGGAAUGUGUGGUGUAGCGGUGAAAUGCAUAGAUAUCACACAGAACCCCGAUUGCGAAGGCAGCAUGCCGGCUUCCGACUGACGCUGAAGCACGAAAGCGUGGGGAUCGAACAGG
rnacentral:rRNA from 1 species